GAUGAACGCUGGCGGCGUGCCUAAUACAUGCAAGUCGAGCGAAUGGAUUAAGAGCUUGCUCCGGUGGAUUAGUGGCGAACGGGUGAGUAACACGUGAGUAACCUGCCCUUGACUCUGGGAUAACUGCGGGAAACUGUAGCUAAUACCGGAUACGACCCUCGGCGGCAUCGCCAGGGGGUGGAAAAAAUUUCGGUCAAGGAUGGACUCGCGGCCUAUCAGCUAGUUGGUGAGGUAACGGCUCACCAAGGCGACGACGGGUAGCCGGCCUGAGAGGGUGACCGGCCACACUAGGACUGAGACACGGCCCAGACUCCUACGGGAGGCAGCAGUGGGGAAUAUUGCACAAUGGGCGCAAGCCUGAUGCAGCAACGCCGCGUGAGGGAUGACGGCCUUCGGGUUGUAAACCUCUUUUAGUAGGGAAGAAGCGAGAGUGACGGUACCUGCAGAAAAAGCACCGGCUAACUACGUGCCAGCAGCCGCGGUAA
rnacentral:rRNA from 1 species